UCGGGAAUUUUGGGCAAUGGGCGAAAGCCUGACCCAGCAACGCCGCGUGAGGGAUGAAGUAGUUCGGUAUGUAAACCUCGAAAGAAUGGGAAGAAUAAAUGACGGUACCAUUUAUAAGCUCCGGCUAACUACGUGCCAGCAGCCGCGGUAAUACGUAGGGAGCAAGCGUUGUUCGGAUUUACUGGGCGUAAAGGGCGCGUAGGCGGCGCGGUAAGUCACUUGUGAAAUCUCUGAGCUUAACUCAGAACGGCCAAGUGAUACUGCUGUGCUAGAGUGCGGAAGAGGCAACCGGAAUUCUUGGUGUAGCGGUGAAAUGCGUAGAUAUCAAGAGGAACACCUGAGGCGAUGGCGGGUUGCUGGGCCGACACUGACGCUGAUGCGCGAAAGCCAGGGGAGCAAACG
rnacentral:rRNA from 1 species